CCUACGGGGGACAGCAGUGGGGAAUAUUGCACAAUGGGCGAAAGCCUGAUGCAGCAACGCCGCGUGGGUGAAGGAGCGUUUCGGCGCGUAAAGCCCUGUUAGCGGGGAAGAAGAAACACGGUAGUCGCUCAAGAAGCCCCGGCUAACUACGUCCCAGCAGCCGCGGUAAUACGCAGGGGGCGAGCGUUAUCCGGAAUUACUGGGUGUAAAGGGAGCGUAGGCGGUGAGGUAAGUCUGAAGUGGAAGCCCGCGGCCCAACCGCGGAACUGCUUGGGAAACUGUUUGGCUGGAGUGUGGGAGGGGUAAGCGGAAUGCAUGGUGUAGCGGUGAAAUGCGUAGAUAUCAGGAAGAACACCGGUGGCGAAGGCGGCUUACUGGACUAUAACUGACGUUGAGGCUCGAAAGCGUGGGGAGCGAACAGGAUUAGAUACCCUAGUAGUC
rnacentral:rRNA from 1 species